ensembl:lncRNA
AAUCACCUGAGGCUCUCAGGUCCAAGGCCACCAGGACAGAAUGCUGAGGGACCAGUUCAACAGAAUCCAGGUUUACCUCCGUAACCCCACGUCUCUGCUCUGAUGUCAAGGUUACAUCGGUCUUCUGGGUGUGAAGAGAAGCAGCAGUAUAAAGGACGGAGACGGAGACGCAGCAGGCACAUCUUCCUGAGAGACUUCACUGAUCUCCAUCUUCAGAGCUCCGUCUCCCUGCUGCUCCACCCGACCUCCACAAGAGUCUCUCCACCUGUUCCUGCCUCUUCUCCACCAUGAAGACAGGUGCUCUGCUCCUCCUGCUGGCAGUUGCUGACUGCGAAGGUCGGGACCCUGACUGUGGAUUCAUGGACUAUUGGAGACAGAUUAUUGAUCUUUGAUGUGAGCUCCUGCAGGCACUCAGGUGUCCCUUUACGAUACGGUGAGAAGAUAUCGGACCCAGAGAACUGUUCCACUUUACUCUGUAGUACGUCUGCAGUCCUCGGUCCCGUCAGUUCAUGUGAACCCGGAGACGUUUGCCUCGGCAACAACACCUUGAAUCCUUCUGAGAGAGCGGCGCUGAACCGUGGACCUUCCACCCUUCAGCCCUCCUGCCGUCGCUCUGCACUAUUCCACCUCACACCCGUUGACGCUUUGGACCUCCUGGACCUCGGAGAAAAAAAGAUCUAUUUGACAGCCGGACACAGCUGGGAGGAACCGGAGCACCGUCCAACAUCUGGAGGAGAGCCUGAAACCAGGAGAGAGGAGGUUGUCAGAGCAGCACACUAACAUCAGGAGUGACACGCACAAAGACACACACACACGAGCAGAGAGAGAGAGUGCAGAGGGCGAGUUGGGCGAGCUAGCGCUCCUCUCUCUCUCAAAGCUGCGUGGUCAGUUACGGAUUCCUGAGGGACGCCAUCGACACACGCGUGUGUGUGUGUGUGUGAGAAAUUAAUCAUUUUGCAAUUUUAACAUGAAAAAGAAGUGACAAAAAAUGUCAUGUUGCCCCGAACAACAUGAAAUCUCUGCUUCAAAAAAACCAACUGUUUCCUUCCAUAGAAUUAGAUGAUGAAUAAACAGG